UGAGGAACAUGACCUUCGGCGGGGGAUAGCCGGCCCAACGGCCGGGUAAUACCGCGUACGACCAUACGGGGACAUCCCUGGAUGGUGAAAGCAGCAAUGCGCCGAUAGAGUGCCUCGCGGCCUAUCAGCUAGUUGGUGGGGUAACGGCUCACCAAGGCAACGACGGGUAGCUGGU
rnacentral:rRNA from 1 species